rnacentral:rRNA from 1 species
GAUGAACGCUGGCGGCGUGCCUAAUACAUGCAAGUCGAGCGAACGGACGAGAAGCUUGCUUCUCUGAUGUUAGCGGCGGACGGGUGAGUAACACGUGGAUAACCUACCUAUAAGACUGGGAUGACUUCAGGAAACCGGAGCUAAUACCGGAUAAUAUUUUGAACCGCAUGGUUCAAAAGUGAAAGACGGUCUUGCUGUCACUUAUAGAUGGAUCCGCGCUGCAUUAGCUAGUUGGUAAGGUAACGGCUUACCAAGGCAACGAUGCAUAGCCGACCUGAGAGGGUGAUCGGCCACACUGGAACUGAGACACGGUCCAGACUCCUACGGGAGGCAGCAGUAGGGAAUCUUCCGCAAUGGGCGAAAGCCUGACGGAGCAACGCCGCGUGAGUGAUGAAGGUCUUCGGAUCGUAAAACUCUGUUAUUAGGGAAGAACAUAUGUGUAAGUAACUGUGCACAUCUUGACGGUACCUAAUCAGAAAGCCACGGCUAACUACGUG